GACGAACGCUGGCGGCGUGCUUAACACAUGCAAGUCGAGCGGUAAGGCCCUUCGGGGUACACGAGCGGCGAACGGGUGAGUAACACGUGGGUGACCUGCCUCUAGCUCUGGGAUAAGCCUGGGAAACUGGGUCUAAUACCGGAUAUGACUCCACGGCGCAUGUUGUGGGGUGGAAAGCCUUGUGUGGCUAGAGAUGGGCCCGCGGCCUAUCAGCUUGUUGGUGGGGUGAUGGCCUACCAAGGCGACGACGGGUAGCCGGCCUGAGAGGGCGACCGGCCACACUGGGACUGAGACACGGCCCAGACUCCUACGGGAGGCAGCAGUGGGGAAUCUUGCGCAAUGGGCGAAAAGCCUGACGCAGCGACGCCGCGUGAGGGAUGAC
rnacentral:rRNA from 1 species